GACGUCAGUGCCUAUACAGGUGUGGUGCAAGUGUCGGUGGGUUGGAGGAAGACCGAUCAUGUCGCUGCUAAAUCAAAUGCGACCUUCUAUCUCGGAGAAACACACACGGAACGGGGGAGUUCGUAGUAAUUACGACCCUCACUUUAACUUGUACAAGCAUAUUACAAUCCCGGAUGUGAGGACAGUAACAGCUCACAACCAUCUACUUAGCGUGGAUCGAGUGAAACUUCUUGGGAAAGAACCGAAAACUGAGAUUUGUCUUUAUCAGACACUGCAUGGAAAGCUGGAUAAGGAUUUGAUAAAGAAGUUCUCCGAUAGCCUUUUCUGGAACUCUGCGUACAAAUCAGAGUUCAUCAACUUCUUGGGCUCGAACAUAAGGUGUGACAGUCGUACACACGAGCCGCACAGUGAUAUGUUCGCUGCUCUGGAUAAAGCACCUCCUCCUGUAGACAGGGAGGCUCAAGAGUGGCAGCAGGUUCGAGCGACCUCUAAUGGCCUUCUUCACGAAGACAAGGUCUGGGAGCCACGGAAUCCCCGCCCUUGGUUCCAGACUGACCCCAUCAGCCACGCACCUGGCAAAGGAAAGAGAAGAAGCUGCGGUCAGAUGAGGAAGAGCGAAUAGUGCAGAAUAAAAUCUGGGACCUUGUGAAGAGGAAUGACCUUUAUUAUCAAUACCGCGAAGAAAUACCAGGGUAUACCGGCUUUAAAGUGGGAAGUGUGAAUCCUAAAGACCCCCUUGGCAACCCACCUGGACACAAUCCUCUACGCGAUCAGAGUGUCAUACAUGCUGCCUACAGCCGUUACAACCCUCA